rnacentral:rRNA from 1 species
AGAGUUUGAUCAUGGCUCAGAGCGAACGCUGGCGGCAGGCUUAACACAUGCAAGUCGAGCGGGCAUCUUCGGAUGUCAGCGGCAGACGGGUGAGUAACACGUGGGAACGUACCCUUCGGUUCAGAAUAACGCUGGGAAACUAGCGCUAAUACCGGAUACGCCCUUUUGGGGAAAGGUUUACUGCCGAAGGAUCGGCCCGCGUCUGAUUAGCUAGUUGGUGGGGUAACGGCCUACCAAGGCGACGAUCAGUAGCUGGUCUGAGAGGAUGAUCAGCCACACUGGGACUGAGACACGGCCCAGACUCCUACGGGAGGCAGCAGUGGGGAAUAUUGGACAAUGGGCGCAAGCCUGAUCCAGCCAUGCCGCGUGAGUGAUGAAGGCCUUAGGGUUGUAAAGCUCUUUUGUCCGGGACGAUAAUGACGGUACCGGAAGAAUAAGCCCCGGCUAACUUCGUGCCAGCAGCCGCGGUAAUACGAAGGGGGCUAGCGUUGCUCGGAAUCACUGGGCGUAAAGGGCGCGUAGGCGGCCAUUCAAGUCGGGGGUGAAAGCCUGUGGCUCAACCACAGAAUUGCCUUCGAUACUGUUUGGCUUGAGUAUGGUAGAGGUUGGUGGAACUGCGAGUGUAGAGGUGAAAUUCGUAGAUAUUCGCAAGAACACCGGUGGCGAAGGCGGCCAACUGGACCAUUACUGACGCUGAGGCGCGAAAGCGUGGGGAGCAAACAGGAUUAGAUACCCCGGUAGUCC